CAGAAUUGUACUAAAAUAACAGCCUUCAUUGGCGGAUCGACGACACUGAGCUCAAGUCUAAACUGAAAAUCUGUGUAACUUCUUCACCAGAAGGCCUAGAAAGAAGCAAAACCCCUUUUUCCUCUAUUGACAAUAGCACGCAAACACACACGGACUGACUCGCUUUCCAUUUCCUAUUCAAAAUUUUGAUUCCUUGAUCCUUCGGCCUGUUCUAGAGCCAACAACGCUCUCUCAAAUAUUUUUAUUUUUUUAUUUUAAUUAAUUUAUUCUCGUAUAGAUCAUAUAUCUAUAACAUCAAACGAUGUCUCCAGUUCGGAAACUCAUGGCUACCGUAUCCAAUUCGCUCUCUCUAAAGCACGGCUUAUCUCUCUGCUCUCCACACUUUUCUUCUCUCAAUCGAAGUUUCCGCACUCCUACUGUUGGAUAUCGAACUGUCUACCGGAACUACGUCGUCGCGUCCUCUGCCUUCUCAAAUGAGAAUCGAGAGUUUGUCAUCGUUGGUGGCGGGAAUGCGGCGGGAUAUGCUGCGCGGACUUUUGUCGAGCACGGAAUGGCCGAUGGAAGGCUCUGUAUUGCGACUAAGGAGCCACA
rnacentral:misc_RNA from 1 species